rnacentral:rRNA from 1 species
UACAGAGGGGGCAAGCGUUAUUCGGAAUUAUUGGGCGUAAAGGGCGCGUAGGCGGCCUGGCAAGUGGAUGGUGAAAUCCCUCGGCUUAACCGAGGAACUGCCAUCCAGACUGCUUGGCUUGAGACCGGGAGAGGUGAGUGGAAUUCCCAGUGUAGCGGUGAAAUGCGUAGAUAUUGGGAGGAACACCAGUGGCGAAGGCGGCUCUCUGGGACGGUACUGACGCUGAGACGCGAAAGCGUGGGGAGCGAACAGG